rnacentral:tRNA from 1 species
CAGGGUGUGGCUGAGUUAGCUAGGCACCCCACUCACGCCGAGGAGACAUCCAUGCAAAUUGGAUCACCCUGA